UGAAGUUCGAGAGAGUGGAUGAAACAAUAAAAUACAGUGCGAGUGACGUGAACCGGAAGUGCUCCUGGUUGCAAUUUGUGAAGUGGAUGAUGUGAUUAAAGAUUACGAAUUACAGGAGACAGAGUUUAUCGCUAUGUUUCAAAAUCAAUUUUGUAUAUGAAGCCGUGACAUUUGUGACAACUAACUAUCAAUACUUGUGUUAAAUUGUGUUUGUUUGUGAUUCGUGGUUGUUAUAAUCAUAUGUUGAUAUCAUAAUAUUGUAUUUGUACUAAGUAAGCUAUCCAGUGUACAGAUGGAAUCGACAUGUCGGUUAUUGUAUAAAAAUUAUUCACCAAUUUGAAAUGUUCGAUCGUAUGGAUAAAAAAAUUAAUGUGAUUGGUUUCAAAACAAAUUCAGCGCUUGCUUUAUUUAUUAGUAUUCUUGCAUAAAACACUCAUGUUUAAUCAAUACAUAUUUAUUCCAAAAAGAAUUACUAGUAUUUUAUGCAAAACGAAUAAACCAACCACAUGUAUUAAAUAUAUCAGUGCCGGAGAAAAUAUUAUAAAAAAAAGUUUUGUUAAAACUUUCCUAUUAUUUGAUAUUUGCAAUAUGUUUUUGAGCUGUAAUGCAAACAUAGCGCAAUGAUUUUUGUAUGAUUUGUACGAAGAGGGGGUUCUUUGUGCGGUGAAUCAAUAGUUCAUGUUUAUUAAAAGACAAUCGUAUGAAUGUACAUAUAUCCGGUAAUAAAAUACACACCAUAGAAUUAUUUGUUUUAAUUCAACGCUUUAUAAAUUGAUCGUGAUUAUGAUAUUGGGGAGUAAAUUUAUCAUGUUUUCAGGGUAAAGAGAUUUCAACAAUAAUUUUCACGAGUGCUUUUCGUAAAGAUUCAAAGAAGAUACAAAGAAAGACAAGUACUAGCAUGCAUGUACUAAAAUUACUCCGUCGUAGACAGUCAUGGUAUACUGUGGUAAUAGGACGUCUGAUCCACGGACCAGGCAAGUUACCUCUAUUGCAAGACUAACUAGAUCGGAACUGUAGCAUGGAAAAUACAACACUGCAACAAAAGCCGAAGGGGUUUUAUAAGACGUUUCCAGAGAUGUCACGAUCCUCAAACAUUGAACAGUCAGUUUUAAGAUGUAUUGGCGUAAAAUUCAUGGUUUUUAUUCCAUCAGGUUACAUGUAUAUGUACAGAUUUAGCAGAAGACUCUUUUUUAAACGAAAUAUUGUAAACAGACUAUAUCAGAAUUUUAGUCAAUAAUAGAGCGAGCCUUUUUUAAAUACAAGUUUCUGAUCAGUUAUUAUCAGUGUGUUAUAUUAUUAAGAUAAAGAAAUAAAAGAAUUGAAG
rnacentral:misc_RNA from 1 species